UACGUAGGCAGCAAGCGUUGUUCGGAGUUACUGGGCGUAAAGGGUGUGUAGGCGGUCCUGUAAGUUUGGUGUGAAAUCUCCCGGCUCAACUGGGAGGGUGCGCCGAAAACUGCAGGGCUAGAGUGCGGGAUGGGAGAGUGGAAUUCCUGGUGUAGCGGUGAAAUGCGUAGAUAUCAGGAGGAACACCGGUGGUGUAGACGGCUCUCUGGACCGUUACUGACGCUGAAACACGAAAGCGUGGGUAGCAAACAGG
rnacentral:rRNA from 3 species